AGAUAAUAUGGCACCCAUGACCUCUUUGCACAUCAAGGACUGUGCCUGAUCGCUUUGCCCUUCCACUCCUUUUGAAUGUCUUAGGCACCAAACAGAAAAUCUUGGCCUGGGUGUUGCUGAUAGUCAGCCGACACUUUCAAGCUAUCACUAGCUCUCUCAAAGAUAUGUAUCCUUCCAAAGAGAAUUUUUAUUGGUCUGGUAAUUAUUAGCAUAAUUUGCCAUUCAGAAGACCUACACAUACAGUCAUGGGAAAAAGAAAGUACACCCUCUUUGAAUUCUAUGGUUUUACAUAUCAG